UGCUGCAACAUCCCCGCGGAUGGGCUGGCGCGAAGCGAUCUUCCGCUUCGCUUCCAGAUGUGAAUCCGCUGCAGCU
rnacentral:sRNA from 1 species